AUUGAACGCUGGCGGCAGGCUUAACACAUGCAAGUCGAGCGAGCGGCGGACGGGAGAGUAAUGUCUGGGCAUCUGCCUGAUGGCGGGGGAUAACUGCUGGCAACGGUAGCUAAUACCGCAUACCACCAGAUCUGCCCAGAUGGGAUGAGCUAGUAGGUGGGGUAAUGGCUUACCUAGGCGACGAUCCCUAGCUGGUCUGAGAGGACGACCAGCCACACUGGGACUGAGACACGGUCCAGACUCCUACGGGAGGCAGCAGUGGGGAAUAUUGGGCAAUGGGGGCAAGCCUGAUGCGGCAAGGCGGCUGAUGGGAAGAGGGUCUCCGGUUUGAAAAGUACGUUCAGAGAGGAGGCGGUACUCGACGAAGAAGCACCGGCUAACUCCGUGCCAGCAGCCGCGGUAAUUC
rnacentral:rRNA from 1 species